CUUUCAUCUGCUGCCAUCCGGCUUUUCAACGCAGAAGUGAAACGCAUCCUGUUAAGUGACAUUCUCUUCAGUUCAGUCUGUGAGUUGAACUGAUCAACUAUCAGUGCUGCCUCCUUUGAUCAAAUUUGAUGUAACUAUCAUGAAUGAAGAAGGAUUCAUAAAGCGGGUCCACGUGAUUAAAAAAGGAUCUCUUUCAUGGAAGAUAGUGGCGUGGAGGCAUACAGGAGCAAGGUAGUGGUGUCGCAAUAACGAUCUUGCACUCAACGUCAGUAAGACCAAGGAAGUGAUUGUGGACUUCAUGAAACAAGAAUCCAAGGGAAUGCACACCAGUCCUCAUCACAGAAUCAGCAGU